rfam:Myotis lucifugus cont2.10880, whole genome shotgun sequence.
UGUAGCUCAGCGGUAGAGCGUCGACCUAGGAACCAAGAGGUCACCGGUUCGAUUCCGGUCA